rnacentral:rRNA from 1 species
AGAGUUUGAUCAUGGCUCAGAAUCAACGCUGGCGGCGUGCCUAACACAUGCAAGUCGAACGCGAAAGCCCCGCAAGGGGUAAGUAGAGUGGCGAACGGGUGAGUAACACGUGGGUGACCUACCUUCGAGUGGGGGGAUAACGUCCCGAAAGGGACGCUAAUACCGCAUACAUCCUGCUCUUGAACGAGUGGAGAUCAAAGCCGGGGAUCGCAAGACCUGGCGUUUGAAGAGGGGCCCGCGUCUGAUUAGCUAGUUGGUGAGGUAACGGCCCACCAAGGCGACGAUCAGUAUCCGGCCUGAGAGGGCGGACGGACACACUGGGACUGAGACACGGCCCAGACUCCUACGGGAGGCAGCAGUGGGGAAUUGUUCGCAAUGGGCGCAAGCCUGACGACGCAACGCCGCGUGGAGGAUGAAGGUCUUCGGAUUGUAAACUCCUGUUGCCCGGGACGAAAAGUUUCGACCUAACACGUCGAGAUCUGACGGUACCGGGUGAGGAAGCCCCGGCUAACUCUGUGCCAGCAGCCGCGGUAAUACAGAGGGGGCAAGCGUUGUUCGGAAUUACUGGGCGUAAAGGGCGCGUAGGCGGCCUUCUAAGUCGAACGUGAAAUCCCCGGGCUCAACCCGGGACUGCGUCCGAUACUGGAAGGCUUGAAUCCGGGAGAGGGAUGCGGAAUUCCAGGUGUAGCGGUGAAAUGCGUAGAUAUCUGGAGGAACACCGGUGGCGAAGGCGGCAUCCUGGACCGGUAUUGACGCUGAGGCGCGAAAGCCAGGGGAGCAAACGGGAUUAGAUACCCUAGUAGUCC